AGGGACGGCGGAGAGCUCACCUUGGCCGAAAACGGGGAGAAAAGCUCUCCCGUUCGGACAUGGGGACCCCUUUAUAGGUGGCUGGCCAGGCCACUUUCGGGGGCCUAACGUGCCUCCGCAUGCAUGCCAUGUUCGGCGGCCGAACUUAAGGUUCGGCGGCCGAACCUAGACUUCCCUCACUUAUGCUUUCGGGGGCCUAAAGCACUCCCGAAACGCAUGCACGUUCGGCGGCCGAACUUGGGAUUUGGCGGCCGAACCUGAG
rnacentral:lncRNA from 1 species